rnacentral:rRNA from 1 species
GAUGAACGCUGGCGGCGUGCCUAAUACAUGCAAGUCGAGCGAACCACUUCGGUGGUGAGCGGCGAACGGGUGAGUAACACGUAGGUCAUCUGCCCAUCAGACGGGGACAACGAUUGGAAACGAUCGCUAAUACCGGAUAGGACGAAAGUUUAAAGGUGCUUCUGGCACCGCUGAUGGAUGAGCCUGCGGCGCAUUAGCUAGUUGGUAGGGUAAAGGCCUACCAAGGCGACGAUGCGUAGCCGACCUGAGAGGGUGAACGGCCACACUGGGACUGAGACACGGCCCAGACUCCUACGGGAGGCAGCAGUAGGGAAUCUUCGGCAAUGGGCGAAAGCCUGACCGAGCAACGCCGCGUGAAUGAUGAAGGCCUUCGGGUUGUAAAAUUCUGUUAUAAGGGAAGAACGACUUUAGUAGGAAAUGGCUAGAGUGUGACGGUACCUUAUGAGAAAGCCACGGCUAACUACGUG